rnacentral:rRNA from 1 species
UACGGAGGGUGCAAACGUUGCUCGGAAUCAUUGGGCGUAAAGCGCACGUAGGCGGUCCGGAAAGUCGGGUGUGAAAUCCCUCGGCUCAACCGAGGAAGUGCAUUCGAAACUUCCGAACUUGAAUAUGGAAGAGGGUCGCGGAAUUCCCGGUGUAGAGGUGAAAUUCGUAGAUAUCGGGAGGAACACCAGUGGCGAAGGCGGCGACCUGGGCCAAUAUUGACGCUGAGGUGCGAAAGCGUGGGGAGCAAACAGG